rnacentral:rRNA from 1 species
GUAUUUGUUAUGUUCUUGAAACCCAAAGGAUUUGGCGGUAUUUUAGUCUUUUCAGAGGAAUCUGUCCCUUAAUCGAUAAUCCACGAUUAUAAUUACUUAGUUUUGUUAGUUUUUAUACCUCCGUCAUAAGAAUAUCUUUUUAGAGUUAAUUUUCUUAAUAGUAAGAAGUUACUAUGUCAGGUCAAGGUGAAGCUUAUAAUUAAGUGGAGAUGGAUUACAAUAAAUUUUAUUUAUAUGGAUAUAAAGUGUUAUACUUUUUUGAAAGUGGAUUUGAUUGUAAAAUUUUUUGUUAAAAUUUUUGAUUUUAGCUCUAAAAUAUGCACACAUCGCCCG